rnacentral:rRNA from 1 species
AUGUACAACUCCUAUAGCCUGGACUUCGAUUACACGAAUACAAUGAUGAGCUUUGAGGUGCUUGGCUACAUGCUUGAGUGGACCAAGAAGGCACUACUCGUGAUGGACCCAUGCGAGACAUCCAAAGACAAAGAUGACAUGAAGCUCAAGCAUGAAGACAACGCAAACAUCAUCCUGGAGGGACUCUAUCGCUGCAUCCAUGCAAACAUAUCAGGGUGCCAGGACAACCACCUACAUGUGGGAAAUUACAUCAGGGAGUUCACAAAUCUGUACAUCUACAAUCCUCUCACACCGGAACACGCAGUGGUCCUGAUGCUCUCAUUUGUAAGAACUUCUAUGAAGUGCACUAGUGAUGCUAAUAGAGUGUUGCAGAUUUCAGAACUGCCUCCACUACUUUCUUCGGUUGAUUGCUUAUGA